rnacentral:RNase_P_RNA from 1 species
UGGGCAACCAGUUGACGUUUGCCGUUGCGGAGUGAGGAAAGUCCGCACUCCACUGGGCAGGGUAGCGGGUAACUCCCGUCCGUCGUGAGACGAGGACCAGUGGCACAGAGACGACAACCCGACCAGCUUUGGCGCUAGGUAGCCUUUACCUUGCAAGCGAGUUGGCCAGGGGGUGAAAAGGGUCAAACUCUACCCGGAGCAAGCCCAUGCAGGGACGUUGACGCGGCUCGCCGAGUCCCAGGUAGGGUGCAAGGAUCCCCGGGGCAACUCGUGGGACAAGAGAGAUGAUCGCCACCUGUCACAUGACGCGAAGGGUAAUUCCGGAACCUACUGUGGCUGGUACAGAAUGCGGCUUACAGGCCACCCCAUUCC